GGCUUGCCCGACACUCUUUCCCUGUUGCACUACUGUGGGCCACUGGGAAGCAGUGCAAUGAUGAAAGGGCAUCUGUCAGGCC
rnacentral:pre_miRNA from 1 species